rnacentral:rRNA from 1 species
CCUACGGGAGGCAGCAGUGGGGAAUCUUAGACAAUGGGGGCAACCCUGAUCUAGCCAUGCCGCGUGAGUGAUGAAGGCCAUAGGGUUGUAAAGCUCUUUCAGCUGGGAAGAUAAUGACGGUACCAGCAGAAGAAGCCCCGGCUAACUCCGUGCCAGCAGCCGCGGU